UGACCUCGGAUCAGGUAGGGAUACCCGCUGAACUUAAGCAUAUCAAUAAGCGGAGGAAAAGAAACCAACAGGGAUUGCCUUAGUAACGGCGAGUGAAGCGGCAACAGCUCAAAUUUGAAAGCUGGCUCCUUCGGAGUCCGCGUUGUAAUUUGUAGAGGAUGAUUCGGCGAGGGCUCCCGCCUAAGUCCCCUGGAACGGGGCGUCAUAGAGGGUGAGAAUCCCGUAUGCGGUGGGUUGCCUUAGCCAUGUGAAUCUCCUUCGACGAGUCGAGUUGUUUGGGAAUGCAGCUCUAAAUGGGAGGUAAAUUUCUUCUAAAGCUAAAUACCGGCCAGAGACCGAUAGCGCACAAGUAGAGUGAUCGAAAGAUGAAAAGCACUUUGGAAAGAGAGUUAAAAAGUACGUGAAAUUGUUGAAAGGGAAGCGCUUGCAGCCAGACUUGUCCGCAGUUGCUCAACCGGUCUCCUGACCGGUGUACUCUUCUGCGGCCAGGCCAGCAUCAGUUCGGGCGGUCGGAUAAAGGCCCUGGGAAUGUAGCUCCUCUCGGGGAGUGUUAUAGCCCAGGGUGGAAUGCGGCCAGCCUGGACUGAGGAUCUCGCUUCGGCUAGGAUGCUGGCGUAAUGGCUGUAAGCGGCCCGUCUUGAAACACGGACCAAGGAGUCUAACAUCUAUGCGAGUGUUUGGGUGUCAAACCCAUGCGCGUAAUGAAAGUGAACGGAGGUGGGAACCCUCACGGGUGCACCAUCGACCGAUCCUGAUGUCUUCGGAUGGAUUUGAGUAAGAGCAUAGCUGUUGGGACCCGAAAGAUGGUGAACUAUGCCUGAAUAGGGUGAAGCCAGAGGAAACUCUGGUGGAGGCUCGCAGCGGUUCUGACGUGC
rnacentral:ncRNA from 1 species